UUCCUACGGGAGGCAGCAGUGGGGAAUUUUGGACAAUGGGGGCAACCCUGAUCCAGCAAUGCCGCGUGAGUGAAGAAGGCCUUCGGGUUGUAAAGCUCUUUUGUCAGGGAAGAAACAGCAGCUCUAACACAGUCUGCGAAUGACGGUACCUGAAGAAUAAGCACCGGCUAACUACGUGCCAGCAGCCGCGGUAAUACGUAGGGUGCGAGCGUUAAUCGGAAUUACUGGGCGUAAAGCGUGCGCAGGCGGUUAUACAAGACAGGCGUGAAAUCCCCGGGCUUAACCUGGGAAUGGCGUCUGUGACUGUAUAGCUAGAGUGUGUCAGAGGGGGGUGGAAUUCCACGUGUAGCAGUGAAAUGCGUAGAUAUGUGGAGGAACACCAAUGGCGAAGGCAGCCCCCUGGGAUAACACUGACGCUCAUGCACGAAAGCGUGGGGAGCAAACAGGAUUAGAUACCCUGGUAGUCCACGCCCUAAACGAUGCUGACUAGUUGUUGGGAAUUUACAUUCUCAGUAACGUAGCUAACGCGUGAAGUCAGCCGCCUGGGGAGUACGGUCGCAAGAUUAAAACUCAAAGGAAUUGACGGA
rnacentral:rRNA from 1 species